rnacentral:lncRNA from 1 species
AUGCCGGCCAUGCUGGUGUCCUGGUGCCAGUGGAUGAUUGAUGGUUAAUGGGUGCAGGCCAAAGAAAAGGGGCUCUCACGGCACUGUCUUCUCAACAAUUAUGGAGCCUUUCUUUCCUCUGUGGAAAACGAGGAUUCGAUUGCCCCGGCGUCAUGACCUAUCCAGUGUCAUAACAAAAUCUCUCGCUCUCUCUCCUCUUCCCAGAUGAAGGAUAGGUAGUGUACAGAUGGGAGCCGUCAAUACCUCCUGAGUGAUGGAAACAGAAUUGAAAGUCCUACAUUUGCAUCCUGAGCCCGUCACAGCUGGAACACCGUUAGCCUCACUGACCAGAAGCCCGGGGAGUAUUUCGAAAAUUAAAUUGGAUGGGAAAAAAAGGAAGAUGAAUGUGUAUACAGGAAAUAUUUGGAUAGAUGUAAAAAGAACCGUUCACCAUGAAUUUUCCCCACAAAGAAAACAAAACUGACUUCAACAUCAAUAGGAAGGAAAAGCAUUUUUCACUGCAAUGUUUCUGGUGCAUUUAAAUUUUAGUAUCAACAUAUGGGUCACCGUUGAAAUAUGAGUUAAUAAAAUAUGUGAAAUAAAGGGUGCUGUCCAGGCACGGAAGUUCUGAGGGUAACAAUCAUGAAUUCUAUCAACUGUGAAUGUUCAACCUUGAAGAAAUGGGAAAAUCAGACAUAGUAAAUGACACAACACAAAGCAUUUGCUGAUACUACGGAGGACUGUUUUAUCACACAAUACGAGCAAGGGUGUCUGGUACAAAACUAGACCUGCUAGGUUUCCUCCGGCUGUGUGCCAUGGAUUCAUUUCAAGCUUCCUAGCCCUCCCCC